UACGGAGGGUGCAAGCGUUAAUCGGAAUUACUGGGCGUAAAGGGCGCGUAGGCGGUCUGUUAAGCCAGAUGUGAAAGCCCCGGGCUCAACCUGGGAAUUGCAUUUGGAACUGGCGGACUUGAGUGCAGGAGAGGAAGGUAGAACUCCCGGUGUAGCGGUGAAAUGCGUAGAGAUCGGGAAGAAUACCAGUGGCGAAGGCGGCCUUCUGGACUGACACUGACGCUGAGGCGCGAAAGCGUGGGUAGCAAAC
rnacentral:rRNA from 1 species